GAUGAACGCUGGCGGCGUGCCUAAUACAUGCAAGUCGAGCGAACAGACGAGGAGCUUGCUCCUCUGACGUUAGCGGCGGACGGGUGAGUAACACGUGGAUAACCUACCUAUAAGACUGGGAUAACUUCGGGAAACCGGAGCUAAUACCGGAUAAUAUAUUGAACCGCAUGGUUCAAUAGUGAAAGACGGUUUUGCUGUCACUUCUAGAUGGAUCCGCGCCGCAUUAGCUAGUUGGUAAGGUAACGGCUUACCAAGGCGACGAUGCGUAGCCGACCUGAGAGGGUGAUCGGCCACACUGGAACUGAGACACGGUCCAGACUCCUACGGGAGGCAGCAGUAGGGAAUCUUCCGCAAUGGGCGAAAGCCUGACGGAGCAACGCCGCGUGAGUGAUGAAGGUCUUGGGAUCGUAAAACUCUGUUAUUAGGGAAGAACAAAUGUGUAAGUAACUAUGCACGUCUUGACGGUACCUAAUCAGAAAGCCACGGCUAACUACGUG
rnacentral:rRNA from 1 species